rnacentral:rRNA from 1 species
CACGGGGGGAGCAAGCGUUGUUCGGAAUCACUGGGCGUAAAGGGCGCGUAGGCGGCCUUCUAAGUCGGACGUGAAAUCGCUCGGCUUAACCGAGGAACUGCGUCCGAUACUGAAAGGCUUGAAUCCGGGAGAGGGAUGUGGAAUUCCAGGUGUAGCGGUGAAAUGCGUAGAUAUCUGGAGGAACACCGGUGGCGAAGGCGGCAUCCUGGACCGGCAUUGACGCUGAGGCGCGAAAGCUAGGGGAGCAAACGGG